GACGAACGCUGGCGGCGUGCCUAAUACAUGCAAGUCGAGCGGACGAAUCGAAAGCUUGCUUUUGAUUCGUUAGCGGCGGACGGGUGAGUAACACGUGGGCAACCUGCCCUGUAGACGGGGAUAACACCGAGAAAUCGGUGCUAAUACCGGAUAACACGAAAUGUCGCAUGACGUUUCGUUGAAAGACGGCGCAAGCUGUCGCUACAGGAUGGGCCCGCGGCGCAUUAGCUAGUUGGUGAGGUAACGGCUCACCAAGGCGACGAUGCGUAGCCGACCUGAGAGGGUGAUCGGCCACACUGGGACUGAGACACGGCCCAGACUCCUACGGGAGGCAGCAGUAGGGAAUCUUCCGCAAUGGACGAAAGUCUGACGGAGCAACGCCGCGUGAGCGAAGAAGGCCUUCGGGUCGUAAAGCUCUGUUGUUAGGGAAGAACAAGUAACGCAGUAACUGGCGUUACCGUGACGGUACCUAACGAGAAAGCCACGGCCAACUACGUG
rnacentral:rRNA from 1 species